UAACUACCUUUCCGCAACCUAAUGGGAC
rnacentral:sRNA from 1 species